UACGGGGGGGCAAGCGUUGUUCGGAAUUACUGGGCGUAAAGGGCUCGUAGGCGGCCAACUAAGUCAGACGUGAAAUCCCUCGGCUUAACCGGGGAACUGCGUCUGAUACUGGAUGGCUUGAGUUCGGGAGAGGGAUGCGGAAUUCCAGGUGUAGCGGUGAAAUGCGUAGAUAUCUGGAGGAACACCGGUGGCGAAGGCGGCAUCCUGGACCGAUACUGACGCUGAGGAGCGAAAGCUAGGGG
rnacentral:rRNA from 1 species